AGCGAACGCUGGCGGCAGGCCUAACACAUGCAAGUCGAGCGCGUAGCAAUACGAGCGGCAGACGGGUGAGUAACGCGUGGGAAUCUACCUCGUGGUUCGGAACAACUCGGCGAAAGCUGAGCUAAUACCGGAUGUGUCCUUCGGGAGAAAGAUUUAUCGCCAUGAGAUGAGCCCGCGUCGGAUUAGCUAGUAGGUGGGGUAACGGCCCACCUAGGCGACGAUCCGUAGCUGGUCUGAGAGGAUGAUCAGCCACACUGGGACUGAGACACGGCCCAGACUCCUACGGGAGGCAGCAGUGGGGAAUAUUGGACAAUGGGGGCAACCCUGAUCCAGCCAUGCCGCGUGAGUGAUGAAGGCCUUAGGGUUGUAAAGCUCUUUCGCCCGCGAAGAUAAUGACGGUAGCGGGAGAAGAAGCCCCGGCUAACUUCGUGCCAGCCGCCGCAGUAAUAC
rnacentral:rRNA from 1 species